rnacentral:rRNA from 1 species
UACAGAGGUGGCAAGCGUUGUUCGGAAUUACUGGGCGUAAAGGGCGCGUAGGCGGUACUUCAAGUCAGGCGUGAAAGCCCCGGGCUCAACCUGGGAACCGCGCUUGAGACUGGAGAACUAGAGUUCGGGAGAGGAUGGUGGAAUUCCCAGUGUAGAGGUGAAAUUCGUAGAUAUUGGGAAGACACCGAUGGCGAAGGCAGCCAUCUGGACCGACACUGACGCUGAGGCGCGAAAGCGUGGGGAGCAAACAGG